rnacentral:tRNA from 1 species
UGCCCCGUCGUCUAAUGGCAGGACCCCGGAUUUUGGUUCCGGUAAUCGUGGUUCGAAUCCACGCGGGGCAA